rnacentral:rRNA from 1 species
CCUACGGGUGGCAGCAGUGAGGAAUAUUGGUCAAUGGGCGCGAGCCUGAACCAGCCAAGUAGCGUGAAGGAUGACUGCCCUACGGGUUGUAAACUUCUUUUAUAAAGGAAUAAAGUGAGGCACGUGUGCCUUUUGUAUGUACUUUAUGAAUAAGGAUCGGCUAACUCCGUGCCAGCAGCCGCGGUAAUACGGAGGCUCCGGGCGUUAUCCGGAUUUAUUGGGUUUAAAGGGAGCGUAGAUGGGUUGUUAAGUCAGUUGUGAAAGUUUACGGCUCAACCGUAAAAUUGCAAUUGAUACUGGCAGUCUUGAGUACAGUUGAGGUAGGCGGAAUUCGGGGUGUAGCGGUGAAAUGCGUAGAUAUGACGAAGAACUCCGAUGGCGAAGGCAGCUUACUAAAAUGCCACUGACAUUGAUGUUCGAAAGUGUGGGUAUCAAACAGGAUUAGAUACCCUGGUAGUC